AGAUCCAAAACUCCGGCUUUCAGCUCAGCCGAGGCCGUUUUACUGAAGUCCAACACUUCUGUCAGAAAGUCAAGAAGCAGCUCCCCCGUCUGGUCUCCCUCAGUGAAACACUCGGUGAUGUCCAGUUGGGACGGCAGCUCGUAGCUCUGCUGAUGCCUGCCAGUUCGGCAGAGAGUCCCCCAACCGCUCUGGUCUGGAACGGACAAAACAUACAAUGGAGGAAAUACGUAUUUAACCCUUGUUAAAACCUAGGAUUUUACAUCAAGGAUAUCGAACCUUCGACUGCUGCAAAAUUCAGCAGCCCGCAUAUUGACGAGGACCAGGGGACGGGAACACAUUACACCCAUUUUAAAAUCGCUGCAUUGGCUCCCUGUGCAAUUCAG